GACGAACGCUGGCGGCGUGCUUAACACAUGCAAGUCGAACGGGGUCCAACCAGUGGCAACACUGGGGAAGACCUAGUGGCGAACGGGUGAGUAACACGUGAGCAACCUGCCCCGAAGACC
rnacentral:rRNA from 1 species